rnacentral:rRNA from 1 species
AUUGAACGCUGGCGGCAGGCUUAACACAUGCAAGUCGAGCGGAGAUGAGGUGCUUGCACCUUAUCUUAGCGGCGGACGGGUGAGUAAUGCUUAGGAAUCUGCCUAUUAGUGGGGGACAACAUUCCGAAAGGAAUGCUAAUACCGCAUACGUCCUACGGGAGAAAGCAGGGGAUCUUCGGACCUUGCGCUAAUAGAUGAGCCUAAGUCGGAUUAGCUAGUUGGUGGGGUAAAGGCCUACCAGGGCGACGAUCUGUAGCGGGUCGGAGAGGAUGUUCCGCCACGCUGGGACUGAGGCACGGCCCAGACUCCUACGGGAGGCAGCAGUGGGGAAUAUUGGACAAUGGGGGGAACCCUGAUCCAGCCAUGCCGCGUGUGUGAAGAAGGCCUUAUGGUUGUAAAGCACUUUAAGCGAGGAGGAGGCUACUGAGACUAAUACUCUUGGAUAGUGGACGUUACUCGCAGAAUAAGCACCGGCUAACUCUGUGCCAGCCGCCGCAGUAAUAC